GAAGGCAUAGCUCAGUGGUAGAGCACGUGCUUAGCAUGCAGGUCCUGGGUUCAAUCCCCAGUGCCUCCA
rnacentral:tRNA from 1 species